CUUAUACUACCUUCGUCCGGAAAUACUUGUCCUCUAGAGAUGAAUGUAUCUAAACUUAUUUUAAUUGUAGACACAUUCAUUAUAUGUAUUUUUAGGACAAGUAUUUCCGGAUGGAGGUAUUAUUUA
rfam:Hordeum vulgare subsp. vulgare, WGS project CAJW01000000 data, contig: morex_contig_277058